rnacentral:lncRNA from 1 species
CCCAAGUGUUUAAAGAGAUGCAGUUCCUACAGUUUGCAGCAAGUGUCAUCCGAGAGCUACUGAACAACCCAGGUCACGCCUGAGACCUAAAAGUUUAGAGAAAACUGGUGUCGUGCGUAUCAUGUAAUACAGGACACGGGUACGUAUCAACCGGAGUGAACAAUCCUAGAAAAGAAAGAAAAAACAUCAUACCAUCGCAGACGACAGCGUUUAAGGAGAUUAGUUUCUUGCAGGAAGCAGAACAGAAGAGCCUAUGACUUACAGUCCUGGAGUCCUAUGUGGAGUCAAAGCAGAAACGGAGGAACUUUUUUCAUCAUAUGGAAUAAUUAAAGUCAGAGCUAGGUGAAAGAUUUUCCCCUCUUUGGGCUGUGUUUCAUCAACUGAGAAGAAAUUCUCUUUCCUGAUAAUCCUCCCUGAAAUGUAACAUUCUUUUCACCUAUAUACUCAAUUGAAAAAAAAAAAAGUGCUAGCAACACAUCGGAAGAUUCCUUGUACCCAUCUAAAAGUUAAUUCCUCUUCAGUGCUUUGCAAGUAAUCCAACACACUGCACUUCAAAAAAAAAAAGGCUGCAGAGGCCUCUAUUAAAGCUGUUCUUUUUAUAAAAGUGCAGU